rnacentral:rRNA from 1 species
GGGGAAUAUUGCGCAAUGGGGGAAACCCUGACGCAGCAAUACCGCGUGAGUGAAGAAGGUUUUCGGAUCGUAACGCUCUGUUAUUGGGGAAGAAAACAAGACGGUACCCAAGAAGAAAGUCCCGGCUAACUACGUGCCAGCAGCCGCGGUAAUACGUAGGGGACAAGCGUUGUCCGGAUUUACUGGGCGUAAAGGGCACGCAGGCGGUUUUUUAAGUCAGAUGUGAAAGGUACCGGCUCAACCGGUGACAUGCAUUUGAAACUGAAAGACUUGAGUAUUGGGGAGGCAAGUGGAAUUCCUAGUGUAGCGGUGAAAUGCGUAGAUAUUAGCAGGAACACCGGUGGCGAAGGCGACUCUCUGGAGUUAAACUGACGCUGAGGCACGAAAGCGUGGGGAGCAAACA